UUAUGGCCAUAUCAUGCUGAAACAUUGGUUCCUGUACAAUCACUGAAAUUAAGCAAUGUUGAGCCUGGUCAGUACCUAGAUGGGGGACCACUUGGAAAUGCCAGGUGCUGUAA